rnacentral:rRNA from 1 species
UACGGAGGGGGCUAGCGUUGUUCGGAAUUACUGGGCGUAAAGCGCACGUAGGCGGCUUUGUAAGUUAGAGGUGAAAGCCCAGGGCUUAACCCUGGAAUUGCCUUUAAGACUGCAUCGCUAGAAUCGUGGAGAGGUGAGUGGAAUUCCGAGUGUAGAGGUGAAAUUCGUAGAUAUUCGGAGGAACACCAGUGGCGAAGGCGGUCUCCUGGGGCAUUCUUGACGCUGAGGCGCGAAAGCGUGGGGAGCAAACAGG